GUUGCCUGUGAGUCAAGAUGUAAGAACUCUCCGCUCCUGCUCCAGCACCACGUCUGCCUGCACACAGCCAUGUCACACCAUGAUGAUAAUGGACUAAACCACUGAAAAUAGUGAAAGGCUGUAAAAUGGAUGAGACUCCUUAGAGAACAUCAAGAGGCAAGUGUGCCUAGGCCUGGGUUGCCUGAAGAGAUGCAGGGAACAAGAAGCGAGACUGAGACAGUUGCCAUACAAUAUAAUAAUUCUAGAACCCUGACAACAUGGAGUUGCUCCUUAACUAAAAGAGCAGUGACAAGUGGGGGACAGAAUGUCGGGUGCCAUGACAGAGUCAACAGGAAACAAGAAAGCUGAUUAGCUAGAAGUGGUCUGGAGUGUUUGCAAAGAGGUUUGUCCACGGAUUAUGUGUUAUAUGAUGGGAUUUUCCCUUCAAUACAUCACAUCUCCAGAUACAGCACUGAUUAGAAGUGAUGGCAAACAACCUUGUCCUUGACCUUGGGGAAAAGGCAUUAUAGAUGCCACUUUUAGGUGUGAUGUCACCAGCAUAUUUUCUUACAGUUUGACGGGAGUGCCUUCUACUCCUGGUUUGUCACAGACACUCCUUGAAUUCUGCCAGGUGCUUUUCUUCAUUUAUUGAGGUGACUGUAUGGGUUUCUUCCAGAUGGAGAAUCACAUGGAUGGCUUUCAAACACUAAGUCAUAAGAAUAUUUGCUACAAACUCCCCCUUGACUCUCAAAAGCAGCUUUUCUUUUCCCAACAAAUGGCACAGUUGUCCUUUCCAGAUUCUUCUGUUUUACAUAAUGACCGGAGUUCCAUGAACUAGGCCAAUCGGGAUUUGCUAUUCUGGGUCCACUGCCAGCAGAGGAGUCAGAGGCCUUGCUGGCAUUUGGGAGUGGACUAGAAAUGUAGGACUUUAAAGGACCUCUUUGCAAAUGAACUGCAGAAAGCAGCAAGUCAUAAAUCCUCCCAGGACUCAGCUCUUCUUGGACAGCUUUAAAUCCCUAGGAAAAUCUCAGCAUUUGGCCCCUGGAGAGGCUAUUUAUCUUUUUCUUGCCCCAUUGACUUUUACAUUGAACACUGUAGCAUCUGAUCUUCCACAAAAUGAAAGUUCCUGGAGGUUUAAAGCUAAA
ensembl:lncRNA